rnacentral:rRNA from 1 species
GAGUUUGAUCCUGGCUCAGAACGAACGCUGGCGGCGUGCUUAACACAUGCAAGUCGAACGUGAUCCGGAGCUUGCUCCGGUGAAAGUGGCGCACGGGCGAGUAACGCGUGGAUAAUCUGCCCUGGUAUCUGGGAUAACAUCUCGAAAGGGGUGCUAAUACCGGAUAAGCCCACGGGAUCCUCGGAUUCUGCGGGAAAAGGUGGCCUCUAUUUAUAAGCUACCGUAUCAGGAUGAGUCCGCGUACCAUUAGCUAGUUGGUGGGGUAAUGGCCCACCAAGGCUACGAUGGUUAGCUGGUCUGGGAGGAUGAUCAGCCACACUGGAACUGAGACACGGUCCAGACUCCUACGGGAGGCAGCAGUGGGGAAUUUUGCGCAAUGGGGGAAACCCUGACGCAGCAACGCCGCGUGAGUGAUGAAGGCCUUCGGGUCGUAAAGCUCUGUCAGAGGGGAAGAACCUCCUGUCGGUUAAUACCCGACGGGCCUGACGGUACCCUCAAAGGAAGCACCGGCUAACUCCGUGCCAGCAGCCGCGGUAAUAC